GACGAACGCUGGCGGCGUGCCUAAUACAUGCAAGUCGAACGAAGCUGUUUUAACUGGUGCUUGCACCGACUUAAACAACUGAGUGGCGAACGGGUGAGUAACACGUGGGUAACCUGCCCCAAAGCGGGGGAUAACAUUUGGAAACAGAUGCUAAUACCGCAUAAUCACAGAAACCACAUGGUUUCUGUGUCAAAGAUGGUUUCGGCUAUCACUUUGGGAUGGACCCGCGGCGUAUUAGCUAGUUGGUAAGGUAAUGGCUUACCAAGGCAAUGAUACGAAGCCGAACUGAGAGGUUGGUCGCCCACAUUGGGACUGUGCCACGGCCGAAACUCCUACGGGAGGCAGCAGUAGGGAAUCUUCCACAAUGGACGAAAGUCUGAUGGAGCAACGCCGCGUGAGUGAAGAAGGUUUUCGGAUCGUAAAACUCUGUUGUCAGAGAAGAACGUGUGCGAGAGUAACUGUUCGUGCAGUGACGGUAUCUGGCCAGAAAGCCACGGCUAACUACGUGCCAGCAGCCGCCGUAA
rnacentral:rRNA from 1 species